GCCCAGGUGGUGAAAUUGGUAGACACGCUAGGUUCAGGGUCUAGUGUCCUUACGGAUGUGCUGGUUCAAAUCCAGUCCUGGGCA
rnacentral:tRNA from 1 species